CAGCCGCCACGGGAAUACGUAGGGUGCGAGCGUUAAUCGGAAUUACUGGGCGUAAAGCGCACGUAGGCGGAUCGAUCAGUCUGGGGUGGAAUCCCAGAGCUCAACUCUGGAACUGCCUUUGACACUGUCGAUCUGGAGUAUGGAAGAGGUGAGUGGAAUUCCGAGUGUAGAGGUGAAAUUCGUAGAUAUUCGGAGGAACACCAGUGGCGAAGGCGGCUCACUGGUCCAUUACUGACGCUGAGGUGCGAAAGCGUGGGGAGCAAACAGGAUUAGAGACCCCUGUAGUCCCUGUCUCUUAUAA
rnacentral:rRNA from 1 species